rnacentral:rRNA from 1 species
GUCCUUUAGUUAAAAAUAAUUUAAGGUCUAACCUGCCCAUUGAUUAAAUUAAAAGGCCGCAGUAAUUUGACUGUGCAAAGGUAGCAUAAUCAUUAGUUUUUUAAUUAAAAGCUUGUAUGAAUGGUUGGACGAGAUAAAAUCUGUCUCUUUAUAAAAAUUAGAAUUUAAUUUUUAAGUUAAAAAGCUUAAAUUUAAAUAAAAGACGAGAAGACCCUAUAGAUCUUUAUAUAAUUUUUUUUAGUAUUAAUAAAGAAAAUUUUAUUUAUUAAUUAAUUUUAUAUUUUAUUGGGGUAAUAAAAAGAUUAAAUAAAUUCUUUAAAAUUUAACAAAAAUUAUUGAUUAUAUGAUCCAUUAUUAAUGAUUAUAAGAUUAAGUUACCUUAGGGAUAACAGCGUAAUUUUUUUAGAGAGUUCUUAUCAAUAAAAAAGUUUGCGACCUCGAUGUUGGAUUAAAAUUAAUUUUGGGUGUAGAAGUUCAAAAUUUUGGUCUGUUCGACCAUUAAAUUUUU